UAGUUGGAAAAGUGACCCAGUUGGGUUAACCCCCGUCCUAUGUCGUAAAAGAAUUUUGCUGACGUAGAAUAAGUUGGAGUGG
rnacentral:rRNA from 1 species